GUCCACGCCGUAAACGAUGUUCACUAGGUGUUGGGGGUAUUGACCCCCUCAGUGCCGGAGCUAACGCAUUAAGUGAACCGCCUGGGGAGUACGGUCGCAAGACUAAAACUCAAAGGAAUUGACGGGGGCCCGCACAAGCGGUGGAGCAUGUGGUUUAAUUCGAUGCAACGCGAAGAACCUUACCUGGGCUUGACAUCCACGGAACCUACUGGAAACGGUGGGGUGCCUUUCGGGGAGCCGUGAGACAGGUGCUGCAUGGCUGUCGU
rnacentral:rRNA from 1 species